GCGUUGCUCGGAAUCACUGGGCGUAAAGGGUGCGUAGGCGGGUCUUUAAGUCAGGGGUGAAAUCCUGGAGCUCAACUCCGGAACUGCCUUUGAUACUGAGGAUCUUGAGUAUGGGAGAGGUGAGUGGAACUGCGAGUGUAGAGGUGAAAUGCGUAGAUAUGCGCAAGAACACCAGUGGCGAAGGCGGCUCACUGGGCCAUUACUGACGCUGAGGCACGAAAGCGUG
rnacentral:rRNA from 1 species